rnacentral:rRNA from 1 species
GUGUGUCUACAAGUAGUCAAAGCACAUUAAAGUGCGAUGGCGUGCCUUUUGUAGAAUGAACCGGCGAGUUACGUUAUCUAGCGAGGUUAAGUCAGAAAAGACGGAGCCGGAGCGAAAGCGAGUCUGAAUAGGGCGAAGAGUUAGGUGACGUAGACCCGAAACCAAGUGACCUACCCAUGGCCAGGCUGAAGGUGUGGUAAAACGCACUGGAGGGCCGAACCCACGUAAGUUAAAAAUUGCGGGGAUGAGCUGUGGGUAGCGGUGAAAUUCCAAACGAACUUGGAGAUAGCUGGUUCUCUCCGAAAUAGCUUUAGGGCUAGCCUCGUGGAGAGGAUAAUGGAGGUAGAGCUCUGUUUGGACUAGGGGCCCGUCAGGGGUUACUGAAUCCAGAUAAACUGCGAAUUCCAUAUAUCCAUACACGGGCGUC